UGAUAAAUUGCAGUUUGUCAGAAAUCAGCUGUGAAGUUCUGGUCUCAUCUUUGAAGUCCAACCCAUCCAACCUGACAGAACUGGACCUGAGCUGGAACAAGAACUUCCAGGAUUCCGGAUUUCUUCAUCUGUGUAGUUUUCUAGAGCUGCCAGACUGCAGACUGCAGACUCUGAGGUUGAUGAACUGCAGUUUGUCCAAGAACAUCUGGAAACCUCUAAUCUCAGCUCUAAAGUCCAACCCGUCCAAUCUGACAGAACUUGAUCUCAGGUGGAACAGAGACCUGCUGGAUUCAGGAUUUCCUCAUUUGUCUGGCUUUCUGGAGAGUCCAGACUACAGACUUCAGACUCUGAAGUUGAAGGACUGCAGUUUGUCAGAGAUCAGCGGUAAAACUCUGAGUUCAUUUGAGAAUCACAACCUGUCCAGUCUGACAGAACUGGACCUGAGUGAGAACAACAUCCAGGAUUCAGGAUUUCUUCAUCUGUGUGGUUUUCUGGAGAGUCCAGACUGCAGACUGAAGAC